AACGAACGCUGGCGGCAUGCCUAACACAUGCAAGUCGAACGAGACCUUCGGGUCUAGUGGCGCACGGGUGCGUAACGCGUGGGAACCUGCCCUUAGGUUCGGAAUAACUCCCCGAAAGGGGUGCUAAUACCGGAUAAUGUCUUCGGACCAAAGAUUUAUCGCCUUUGGAUGGGCCCGCGUUGGAUUAGCUAGUUGGUAGGGUAAAAGCCUACCAAGGCGACGAUCCAUAGCUGGUCUGAGAGGAUGAUCAGCCACACUGGGACUGAGACACGGCCCAGACUCCUACGGGAGGAAGCAGUGGGGAAUAUUGGACAAUGGGCGAAAGCCUGAUACAGCAAUGCCGCGUGAGUGAUGAAGGCCUUAGGGUUGUAAAGCUCUUUUACCAGGGAUGAUAAUGACAGUACCGGGAGAAUAAGCUCCGGCUAACUCCGUG
rnacentral:rRNA from 1 species